rnacentral:rRNA from 1 species
UACGAAGGGGGCGAGCGUUGUUCGGAUUUACUGGGCGUAAAGGGCGCGUAGGCGGCGCGAGGAGUCGAGUGUGAAAGCCCCGGGCUCAACCUGGGAAUUGCGCUCGAUACUCUUGUGCUAGAGUUCGGGAGAGGAGCGUGGAAUUCCCAGUGUAGAGGUGAAAUUCGUAGAUAUUGGGAAGAACACCGGUGGCGAAGGCGGCGCUCUGGACCGAAACUGACGCUGAGGCGCGAAAGCGUGGGGAG